UUAAGUCCCUGCCCUUUGUACACACCGCCCGUCGCUACUACCGAUUGAAUGGCUCAGUGAGGCGUCCGGACUGGCCCAGAGAGGUGGGCAACCACCACUCAGGGCCGGAAAGCUCUCCAAACUCGGUCAUUUAGAGGAAGUAAAAGUCGUAACAAGGUCUCCGUUGGUGAACCAGCGGAGGGAUCAUUA
rnacentral:rRNA from 6 species